UAAAAAACAAAACUCCCCUCACUAUCUUCUUUGGCUUCUCGCCUCUUUCUCUGCCUCUUUUCUUAUGAGAUAUGUUGUCGCCUUGGACUAAUCCAAGCCUUUGAUUUCUAUUGCUAUGGAUUAUCAACAGUCCAGAACUUCUAUUCUUUCGUGUUGGUGUGCCAGCUAACAAGAUUGUGUCUGCUCUCAGGUUAUAUGGAUUGUGCUCCUAAUUUGCUGACAAAUCUUAUCUAUUGAAGAGAUUCUUCUUCACUUUGGCAAGCCAGAGGCAGAAGCAUUACACACAUUUAUUACAGGUACUUUUCUCAAGUGUGACUAGAUGACCACUAUUUUAUUAGAUCCCGCCUCUGCUUUUUCUUAUGUGUCUGUUAAAUUUGCGGUUAAAAUAGACACGGGUCUAUGAUUUCCUUGAUACCCAUGUUUAUGUGUCUACCAUAGUAGGUAACUCUAUCUUUGUAGAUAAAGUGUACCAUUAUUGUCCUGUGAUGUUUAUAGGUUAUUUAGCUAGGGAAAAUUCAGUAAUCCUUAAUAUGGUGAAUUUGAUAUCAUCAUAGAGAUGAGUUGGGUAUCUUCUUAUCAUGAAAUUUUGUAUUGUCGUGUAAAAACAGUGAUUGUAGCUAUGUCGUGGAUAGCUAGAAUUGAGUGAAAAAUUACUAUAAUCUUGUUUAUGUGAACAUGUUGGAGGGUCGGUACCAUACUUGAACGGUACAUAGAUGAAGCCCGUAUAUAUUAUGAUAGCACAUAUAUAAUUCAACAUCCAAAUCAAUUCAAAUUAAACUAAAUUUGAAACAUAUAGGCUAUAUAUCAUAAAUUAAAAAAUAAAACUCAAAUCAUGUUAUGAUGAAUACACUUAAGGGUAUCUUACAUGUUGAUCCACACGUGAGUAGGAAAUUGAUUGCAAAUACCAACCCAUAGAUUAUAGGCAUUAGUUCAAGUUCUUGACCUUAAGUCAACAACUCGGCCUAAUGACUAGGAUCUGCAUGUUCAUAUUUGCGAUCAAUUUAUUACUCAGUUGCGGGGGGUCAACAAGUAAGAUACCCUUGGGAGCGUUCUUAUAAAAUGAUUUGUGUUUGUCCUUUAAUUUAUGAUAUACUGCACAUAUGUUCGAAAUUUAGUUUAUUGAGAAUGUCACACUAACACUAUAUUUUUUAGGCUAUCAACACAUGCUUAGUAUAGACGAUACUACAAGUAACUAGUCUCGUGUUAGUGCUGAAAAAUCUCUGUAUUAUUAGUGUAUAUAAACUGAAAUUUCAUUUAUUCGAUAAUCAAUACCAGUUGAUCCUAUACAUGUGAUCGAACACAAUAAUUGGUACACUAGAAGAGUGUCCUUCUCGAUCCUCUACUACUAGGAAAAGGUCCUCUCAAUGAUCUAAUACCCGCACUGGAUGUAAAAUAAAAAAAAAUUGCAAUAGCUUGACAUCCAUUGCCCAAUAUGGAUUACUCAACCUCUUAUUCUAUAUACAAAAAUCAGAUUGUCCCGUAUCUAUUAUGAUAACACAUAUAUAAUUUAACAUCUAAAUUUAUUCUAAUUAAACUAAAUUUAAAACAUAUACAGUUAUAUCAUACAUUAAUAAAUAAACCUCAAUCAUUUUAUGGUGACAACACCCAAGGGUAUCCUACAUGUAGAUCCACCAGCAUAUGAGUAGGCAAUUGAUCGGAAAUACCAACUGGUACAUUGUAGGCAUUAGUUCAAGUUCUUGACUUAAGCCAAAUACUCGGCCUAAUCAUUAGAAUCUGCAUGUUCAUAUUUGCGAUCAAUUUCUUACACAGUUGCGGGGGGUCAACACGUAGGAUACCCUUGGGAGCGUCCUCAUUAUAUGAUUUGCGUUUGUUUUUAAAUUAUGAUAUACUGCACAUAUGUUCCAAAUUUAUUUUAUUUAGAAUGUCACACUAACACUAUAUUUUUUAGGUUAUCAAUACAUGCUUAGUAUAGAAGAAACUACAUGUAAUUAAUCUCGUGUUAGUGCUGAAAAAUCUGUGUUAUUUGUGUAUAUAAAUUAAAAUUUCAUUCAUUUCAUAACCAAUACCUAGUUGAACCUAUACAUAUGAUCGAAAAUGAUAAUUGAUACAUUAUAGGAGUGUCCUUCUUGAUCUUAUAGUAAUAUGAAAAGGUCCUCUCAAUAUUCUAAUACUCGGCACUGGAUGUAGAAAAACAAAUGCAAUAACUUGACAUCCAUUGGCCAAUAUAGACCUUUACUCUACCUUUUAUUGUAUAUACAAAAAUCAGAUUGUCCUGUUUAUAUUAUGAUAGCACAUAUAUAAUUUAACAUCCAAAUAUAUUUUAAUUAGACUAAAUUUGAAACAUAUACGCUAUAUGUCAUAAAUUAAAAAAUAAACCUCAAUCAUUUUAUAAUAACAACAUUUCCGAGGGAAUCCUUAAGUUCAUCCCCGCAGGUGAGUAGGCAAUUGAUCGCACAUAUCAACCGGUUGAUGUAGGCAUUAGUUCAAUUUCUUGACUUAGGUCAAAAACUCGGCCUAAUGACUAGAAUCUGCAUGUUCAUAUUUGCGAUCAAUUUCCUACACAGUUGCAGGGGGGUCAACAAGUAGGGUAUCCUUGGGAGUGUCAUCAUAACGUGAUUUUCGUUUGCUCUUUAAUUUAUGAUAUAUUGCACAUAUGUUCCAAACUUUAGUUUAUUUAGAAUGUCACACUAACACUUUAUUUUUAGGUUAUCAACACAUGCUUAGUAUAGACGAUAGUGCAUGAAAUUAAUCUUGUGUUAGUGCUGAAAAACCUCUAUGUUAUAUUUGUAUACAGAUUGAAUUUUCAUUUAUUGUAUAACCAGUGCCAAGUUGAUUCUAUACAUGUGAUCGAACACGAUAAUUGGUACACUGGGGGAGUGUCCUUUACAAUUCUUUAAUACUAGAAAAAAGUCCCCUCAAUGUUCUAAUACCCUCACUGAACCAAUCGGUUGAAGAGGCUACUUGGGAUACCGAAGCAGACAUGUGCAAGAAGUAUUCCUAAUUAUUCAUCGAUUCAUUAUUUAUCUAUAUGUUUGGAAGCAAGGAGAAGUCUAUAAGGUGAAGCUUGGGAAUUUACUCUGUCAAGACUUGGUAUGUCCUCAUAUAUUCGAGGACAUAGUCUAUGUUUUCUUAGUUUAUUUAAGAGUUAUUAUGUAUUAUGUAAAGGGCCGUGUCCCUAAGAUAAUUAUGUCGUGUCUUUAAGUUUGGCUUGUGACGAUGAGACUUUCUUAGUAUUUUAUGAAAGAUGUUUCUUUUAUUAAAUUAUUCGUGAAAAGUUUUAAUUCCACUACUUUUCAUGUCUUAUGUAAUGAACGAUAGUUAAAUGAUUGUACAAGACCCCAAAAGGUCGAGUACGUCUUGUGACGAUUCAAGGGUUCUCCCUAUCUUCUAGGGGGUACUUGCGGAUCGUUACAUUAAAAUAACCAAGCGAUAAAAUGAAACAAAGAAAACCUAGAAGUGGGAGAGAAUUGAAACAUACAAAUUGUUUACUGAUAAAGUAUAAAGACAGAAAAAGAACAUUUGAUAAAAACAAGUGGAGAAACAUGUAAUGAACAUAAAUCUAGAGGUGGAAAAAAUCAAAAGGUAAAUGUCAAAAGUGUCAGUAAAUGAAGUUUCACUUUAGUUACCAUUAAACACACAUGUUAAUACAUUUACAAAAUCACACUUCUAAUAUAGUAGAAUAUGCAGGUGAAGAAAUAUCGUGGUCUAUGAAAUUAUUGCACAAAAAACACAAAAUGGACUUCACUAAGGAUUGUGAUGAAUGAGAUAAGAUAUUUUCAUACUUAAUUAGCUAAGAAUUUUGAUAUAAAUUUGGAUGAUGGUUUUAUUUAAUCAAUGAACUUUUAAUAAAAAGCACUUUCCCCGUUCUAUGUUUUAAAUGAUGGAGGGGACUAAAGAUCCCCCAAUUUUUUCAAAAGCAAAUAUUGUUAUUUUAUUAAUAAUUUCAACAUCAAAAAACAAACACCACCUCGAAAGUAGCCCAAACAACAAAAACACAUAAAAGAAUAACAUUCUAUUCUACCCCCAAUCCAACUCUUACCCGGAUGGAGCUAUAUAUAGAUACUUAGAGUAGGGUUUCAUAAAACAGAUCCCCUCAUUAUCUUCUUUUCUCAACUCUUUCUCUGUUUCUUUUGUUAUGAGAUAUGUUGUCGCCUUGGAUUAAUCCAAGCCUUUGAUUUCUAUUUCUUUGGAUUAUCAACAACCCGGAGCUUCUAUGAUUUCGUGAUUGUGUGCCAGCUAACAAGAGUAAGUACCUUCAUCCCUGUAUUGUUCCAUAUCGUCUUGCUUCUAACCAUUUUUCCCUCUUAAUUUGUGCGUGCUCUCAGGUUUCAUGGGUCGUGGUCCUAAUUUGCUGGCAGAUCUUAUCUGUUGGAGAGAUGCUUCUUCACUUGGUAAGUCUUCACAAUUCUCAUUUUCGUUCUUUGCUCUCUAGCCUUUGUCUUCCUGUAGGUUGGAGUGCAUUUUGGUCCACCUCCUUGAAAAAGUAUUGAUAACUUUUUCUAUGAAGCGUCAAACACAUUUAUUACAGGUAUUAUUCUCAAGUGUGACUAUAUGGUCACUGUUCUAUAUGAUCCCGCCUCCACUUUAAUUUAAUCUUGUGUUAGUAUUGAAAAAUCUAUGUGUUAUUUGUGUAUAUAAAUUGAAAUUUCAUUUAUUCGUAAUUAAUAUCCUAGUUGAUCCUAUAAAUGUUAUCGAACACGAUAAUUGGUACUCUAGACAAGUGUCCUUCUCUAUCCUCUAGUACUAGGAAAAUAUAUUUUCAAUGUUCUAAUACCUGCACUAAAUGUAGAAAAAGAAUUGGAAUAGCCUGACAUCUUUUGGCCAAUGGGGACUUUUACUCAAUCUUUUAUUGUAUAUAUAAAAAUCGGAGUGUCCCAUGUAUUAUGAUUGCACAAGUAUAUUUUAACAUCCAAAUUUAUUCUAAUUGAACUAAAUUUGGAACAAAUACCAUAUAUAUAUCAUAAAUUAAAAAAUAAACCGCAAUCAUGUUAUGAUGACAACAUUCCCAAGAGUAUCCUACAUGUUGACCCCCUGCAAGUGAGUAGACAAUUGAUUGCAAAUACCAACCGGUAGAUUAUAGGCAUGAAGUCAAAUUUUUGACUUAAGUCAACAGCUCGGCCUGAUGACUAGAAUAUGCAUGAUCAUAUUUGCGAUCAAUUUCCAACCCAGCUGCGGGGUCAACAAGUAGGAUACCCUUGGGAGUGUCAUCAUAACAUGAAUUGCGUUUGUUCUUUAAACUAUGAUAUAUUGCACAUAUGUUCCAAAUUUAGUUUAUUUAGAAUGUCACACUAACACUUUAUUUUUCAGGUUAUCAACACAUGCUUAGUAUAUGUAAUUAAUCUCAUGUUAGUGUUGAAAAACAUGUGUGUUAUUUGUGUAUAUAAAUUGAAAUUUCAUUUAUUCCAUAACCAAUACCCCAUUGAUUCUAUACAUGUGAUCGAACACAAUAAUUAUUACACUAGAGGAUUGUCCUUUUCAAUCUUGUAGUACUAGGAAAAGGUCCUCUCAAUGUUCUAAUAUCCGACUGGAUGUAGAAAAAGAACUGCAAAAAGUUGACAUCCAUUGGCCAAUAUGGACCUUUACUCAACCUUAUAUUCUAUAUACAAAAAAUCAUCUCAAUUAAGAGAACAUGUCAAAUAUGAAAAUCAAAUUCAGCUUCUGUUCCAAAUGAUUUCUUACAAUGAGCAAUGGCUGCCUAAAUAGAAUUAUCCCUUCAAUAAAAUUUUCUAACGUCGUCAUCACAUACAUUGCUAUGCUUUGGUGACGUCUUAAUAGACUUGCCAUCAACUUAUUCGAUUGGUAAAAACCCUAAAAAUGAUUGAAUAUGUGAUUUUUAUGUGUUUUAGAUUAUGAACAAACUGAAUUUGUUCAAGAAAGGGAAAGGCUUUAGCUGGGAUAGCUUGCAUUCUGGUACCAUACUUGUAUACUACAUGGAUGGAGACAGUCCCAUAUAUAUUAUAAUUGCACAUAUAAUUUAACAUCCAAAUAUAUAUGAUUCAACUUCUCUUCAUUUCUCUUCUUUUCAUUUUUUUCAAGUUCUACCUUGGAUCGAAGACACGUGUCAUAGUUUAAAAUCAAUGGUUGAGAUUUAAUUAAUUAAAGUAAAGUUUCAACCAUAGUUAUUUACUUCCAUAUAUUUGCUUCUUAAAUAUUUAAAAAACAAAUAUAUGGAGAUAAAUAAUUAUGAUUAGGACUUUAGUUUAAUCAAUUAAAUCUCAACCAUUAAUUUCAAACUAUGACAUGUGUCUCCAAUGCAAGCUAGAACUUGAGAAAAAUGAAAAGAGGAGAAAUGAAGAGGAACCGGAUCCAAAUAUAAUGUAAUUAAUCUAAAUUUGGAACAUAUACGCUAUAUAUGAUAAAUUAAAAUACAAACCUCAAUUAUGUUAUGAUGUUAGUAAGCAAUUGGUUGCAAAUACCAAUGGGCUGAUUCUAGACAUUUUGCCAAUGUCAAGAACUCGGCCUAAUGUCUAGUCCAUUGGUAUUGGCCAUCAAUUGUCUACUCAGUUGUGGGGGUCAACAAGUAAGAUACCCUUAGGACAUUGUAAUCAUAACAUGAUUUGGACUUGUUAUUUAAUUUAUGAUAUAUAGAACAUAUGUUUCAAAUUAUGUUUACUUACAAUGUUCUGAACCCAACUCAUUAACCACAGAAACAAAAUUAUAAUAGUUCGACAUCCAUUGGCCAACUAUGGACCUUUACUCAACUUUUUAUUAUAUAUAUACAAAAAUCAUCUCAAUUAAGAGAACACUGUCA
rnacentral:lncRNA from 1 species